GAUGAACGCUGGCGGCGUGCCUAAUACAUGCAAGUCGAGCGAACAGACGAGGAGCUUGCUCCUCUGACGUUAGCGGCGGACGGGUGAGUAACACGUGGAUAACCUACCUAUAAGACUGGGAUAACUUCGGGAAACCGGAGCUAAUACCGGAUAAUAUAUUGAACCGCAUGGUUCAAUAGUGAAAGACGGUUUUGCUGUCACUUAUAGAUGGAUCCGCGCCGCAUUAGCUAGUUGGUAAGGUAACGGCUUACCAAGGCAACGAUGCGUAGCCGACCUGAGAGGGUGAUCGGCCACACUGGAGCUGAGACACGGUCCAGACUCCUACGGGAGGCAGCAUUAGGGAAUCUUCCGCAAUGGGCGAAAGCCUGACGGAGCAACGCCGCGUGAGUGAUGAAGGUCUUCGGAUCGUAAAACUCUGUUAUUAGGGAAGAACAAAUGUGUAAGUAACUAUGCACGUCUUGACGGUACCUAAUCAGAAAGCCACGGCUAACUACGUG
rnacentral:rRNA from 1 species